CCUUUUGACCGAUGCCUAAUCGCAUCUUUCCCUUCGGGGACAGAAGUGACAGGUGGUGCAUGGUUGUCGUCAGCUCGUGUCGUGAGAUGUUGGGUUAAGUCCCGCAACGAGCGCAACCCUUGCCUUUAGUUGCCAGCAUUAAGUUGGGCACUCUAGAGGGACUGCCAGGGAUAACCUGGAGGAAGGUGGGGAUGACGUCAAAUCAUCAUGCCCCUUAUGCUUAGGGCUACACACGUGCUACAAUGGGUGGUACAGAGGGCAGCCAAGUCGUGAGGCGGAGCUAAUCCCUUAAAGCCAUUCUCAGUUCGGAUUGUAGGCUGAAACUCGCCUACAUGAAGCUGGAGUUACUAGUAAUCGCAGAUCAGAAUGCUGCG
rnacentral:rRNA from 1 species